AAUGAACGCUGGCGGCGUGCUUAACACAUGCAAGUCGUACGAGAAAUUCGCCUUCGGGCGGAGAGUAAAGUGGCGCACGGGUGAGUAACGCGUGGGUAAUCAACCCUCGAAUUGGGGAUAACACAUCGAAAGGUGUGCUAAUACCGAAUAAGACCCCGACCACCUCGGUGGUUGUGGUAAAAGAUGGCCUCUGCUUGCAAGCUGUCGUUUGAGGAUGAGCCCGCGUACCAUUAGCUUGUUGGUGGGGUAAUGGCCUACCAAGGCGACGAUGGUUAGCUGGUCUGAGAGGAUGGCCAGCCACACUGGAACUGGAACACGGUCCAGACUCCUACGGGAGGCAGCAGUGAGGAAUUUUGCGCAAUGGGGGAAACCCUGACGCAGCAACGCCGCGUGAGUGAAGAAGGCCUUCGGGUUGUAAAGCUCUGUCGAGUGGGAAGAAACUUUUUCGGCCGAAUAAGUCGAAAGAUUGACGGUACCGCUGAAGGAAGCACCGGCUAACUCCGUGCCAGCCGCCGCGGUAAGAC
rnacentral:rRNA from 1 species